rnacentral:rRNA from 1 species
UACGAAGGGGGCUAGCGUUGCUCGGAAUCACUGGGCGUAAAGCGCACGUAGGCGGGUCCUUAAGUCAGGGGUGAAAUCCCGGAGCUCAACUCCGGAACUGCCUUUGAUACUGGGGAUCUUGAGUCCGGAAGAGGUGAGUGGAACUCCGAGUGUAGAGGUGAAAUUCGUAGAUAUCGAGAGGAACACCGGUGGCGAAGGCGGCCAACUGGACGAAUACUGACGCUGAGACUCGAAAGCGUGGGGAGCAAACAGG